UCGAGAAUCUUCGGCAAUGGGCGCAAGCCUGACCGAGCGACGCCGCGUGGAGGAUGAAGGCCUUCGGGUUGUAAACUCCUGUCGAGGGGGAGGAAGGCCGGGCGACCGGCUUGACCGAUCCCUGGAGGAAGCACGGGCUAAGUUCGUGCCAGCAGCCGCGGUAAGACGAACCGUGCGAACGUUAUUCGGAAUCACUGGGCUUAAAGCGCGUGUAGGCGGAUGGGGACGUCGGAGUCUGAAAGCCCCCGGCUCAACCGGGGAAGUGGAUCCGAAACGCCCCGUCUGGAGGGACGUAGGGGGACCUGGAACUUCCGGUGGAGCGGUGAAAUGCGUUGAGAUCGGAAGGAACGCCCGUGGCGAAAGCGAGGUCCUGGACGUCUGCUGACGCUGAGACGCGAAAGCUAGGGGAGCGAACG
rnacentral:rRNA from 1 species